UGAGGAAUAUUGGGCAAUGCCCGCAAGGGUGACCCAGCAACGCCGCGUGGAGGAUGAAUGUCGUAAGAUUGUAAACUCCUGUUAGAGGGGAAGAAUAGUACCGGUUGGACCGGUAUAUGACUGUACCCUCAGAGAAAGCCCCGGCUAACUACGUGCCAGCAGCCGCGGUAAUACGUAGGGGGCAAGCGUUGUCCGGAUUUACUGGGUGUAAAGGGCGCGCAGGCGGGAUAAAAAGUCAGUGGUGAAAUCCUACAGCUUAACUGUAGAACUGCCUUUGAUACGUUUAUUCUUGAGCUCGGGAGAGAGAGACGGAAUUCCAGGUGUAGUGGUGAAAUACGUAGAUAUCUGGAAGAACACCAGUUGCGAAGGCGGUCUCUUGGUCCGACACUGACGCUGAGGCGCGAAAGCGUGGGGAGCAAACA
rnacentral:rRNA from 1 species